GGGAAUAGCCUUCCGAAAGGAAGAUUAAUACCGCAUAAGAUUGUAAUAUCGCAUGAUAUAGCAAUUAAAGGAGCAAUCCGCUAUGAGAUGGACCCGCGUCGCAUUAGCUAGUUGGUGAGGUAACGGCUCACCAAGGCGACGAUGCGUAGCCGACCUGAGAGGGUGAUCGGCCACAUUGGGACUGAGACACGGCCCAGACUCCUACGGGAGGCAGCAGUGGGGAAUAUUGCACAAUGGGGGAAACCCUGAUGCAGCAACGCCGCGUGAGUGAUGACGGUCUUCGGAUUGUAAAGCUCUGUCUUUAGGGACGAUAAUGACGGUACCUAAGGAGGAAGCCACGGCUAACUACGUGCCAGCAGCCGCGGUAAUACGUAGGUGGCAAGCGUUGUCCGGAUUUACUGGGCGUAAAGGGAGCGUAGGUGGAUAUUUAAGUGGGAUGUGAAAUACUCGGGCUUAACUUGGGUGCUGCAUUCCAAACUGGAUAUCUAGAGUGCAGGAGAGGAAAGUAGAAUUCCUAGUGUAGCGGUGAAAUGCGUAGAGAUUAGGAAGAAUACCAGUGGCGAAGGCGACUUUCUGGACUGUAACUGACACUGANGCUCCGAAAGCGUGGGGAGC
rnacentral:rRNA from 1 species